UGGGCAAAGCCUGACGCAGCGACGCCGCGUGGGGGAUGAAGCUUCUCGGAGUGUAAACCCCUUUCGACCCGGACGAAUGACCCGCAAGGGUUUGACGGUACGGGUAUAAGAAGCCCCGGCUAACUACGUGCCAGCAGCCGCGGUAAUACGUAGGGGGCCAGCGUUGCUCGGAAUUACUGGGCGUAAAGGGUUCGUAGGUGGUGCGGCAAGUUGGAAGUGAAAUCUCUGGGCUUAACCCAGAGGCUGCUUUCAAAACUGCCGUGCUCGAGUGCGAGAGAGGCCAGUGGAAUUGCAGGUGUAGCGGUGAAAUGCGUAGAUAUCUGCAGGAACACCCGUGGCGAAGGCGGCUGGCUGGAUCGCAACUGACACUGAGGAACGAAAGCUAGGGGAGCAAACAGGAUUAGAUACCCUGGUAGUCCUAGCCCUAAACCAUCAGGACUUGGGGUGGCCCGCGUAGGCGGGUCGUCCCGUAGCUAACGCGUUAAGUCCUGCGCCUGGGGAGUACGGUCGCAAGACUGAAACUCAAAGAAAUUGACGGA
rnacentral:rRNA from 1 species